CCUACGAAGAGAAAAAAAAAAAAGAGAAAAGAAAAUAUAUAAAUGGAAGUUGGAAAAAAAACAUUGAUUCUUUUUUUUUUACAUCUACGCACCUUCUUCUGUGUCGCGUAUUUUUGUGCAAGAUAUACAACAAGUAAGAAAAAAAAAAAGAAAAGAAAAGAAGAAGAAAAUUGGAGAUUAAAAAAACGAAACUCACGUAAUCACAAAUUUCUCCGUGAUAUCCGUUGGGACAAGUGCAAUUGAAUUUGUGUAUAGUUUCGUCGACAAGAUAAGGCCAACAAGUACCGCCAUUUUGACAAGCGUUUCCCUGGCAACCGAUCAAUUCCACCGAACAAUUUUUACCGCCGUAUUCCGGCUCGCAAGUGCAAGUAUAAUCGGCCCUUCCAUCUGUACACACACCAUGCUCGCAGGGUGAAUAUCUUUUGCACUCGUCGAUAUCGUGUUGACAAUGAUCACCCUCGUAUCCUUCGUCGCAUUCGCAGGUGUAACCACCGAUACGAUCAACACAGGUCCCAGCUUGGCACGGAUUACUAUCACAUUCGUUGAUAUUUACCUCGCAAUUUUUCCCCGUAACACCUUGUACGCAAAGACACUCGUACCUGAAAUAUACAUUUUUAAGAAA